rnacentral:rRNA from 1 species
UACGUAGGGCGCAAGCGUUGUCCGGAAUUAUUGGGCGUAAAGAGCUCGUAGGCGGCUUGUCACGUCGAUUGUGAAAGCCCGAGGCUUAACCUCGGGUCUGCAGUCGAUACGGGCUAGCUAGAGUGUGGUAGGGGAGAUCGGAAUUCUUGGUGUAGCGGUGAAAUGCGUAGAUAUCAAGAGGAACACCUGAGGUGAAGACGGGUUGCUGGGCCAACACUGACGCUGAUGCGCGAAAGCCAGGGGAGCAAACGGG